rnacentral:rRNA from 2 species
UGGGGAAUAUUGCACAAUGGAGGAAACUCUGAUGCAGCGACGCCGCGUGAGGGAAGAAGGUCUUCGGAUUGUAAACCUCUGUCCUUGGUGACGAUAAUGACGGUAGCCAAGGAGGAAGCCACGGCUAACUACGUGCCAGCAGCCGCGGUAAUACGUAGGUGGCAAGCGUUGUCCGGAAUUACUGGGUGUAAAGGGAGCGUAGGCGGGUGCGCAAGUUGAAUGUUAAACCUAUGGGCUUAACCCAUAGUUGCGUUCAAAACUGCGCAUCUUGAGUGAAGUAGAGGCAGGCGGAAUUCCUAGUGUAGCGGUGAAAUGCGUAAAUAUUAGGAGGAACACCAGUGGCGAAGGCGGCCUGCUGGGCUUUAACUGACGCUGAUGCUCGAAAGCGUGGGUAGCAAACAGG